UAGGUCUCAGUUCAGAUUGCAGGCUGCAACCCGCCUGCAUGAAGUCGGAAUUGCUAGUAAUCGCGGAUCAGCAUGCCGCGGUGAAUACGUUCCCGGGCCUUGUACACACCGCCCGUCACACCAUGGGAGCCGGUAAUACCCGAAGUCAGUAGUCCAACCUCGUGAGGACGCUGCCGAGGGUAGGAUUGGCGACUGGGGUGAAGUCGUAACAAGGUAUC
rnacentral:rRNA from 1 species